GAGAAGAAAAAGAAAAAGAAGAGAUUUUUGUGUUGUAUCAUCUCACUUUUAUUGGCAUUUAUUCCUGAUUCUCAUUCUCAUUAUGAUUAUGGUUAUGAUUCGACGACGACGAUAUCAGCAGCAACGACAACAACAACAACGAUAUCACCAAUGCUAGUAUCAUUCUCUAUCUUUUUAGUAUCAUUUGUAGGUUGUGGUAUCUAUGUGACAUGUGGUAGUGGUAGCGGUAGUACUCCAAUGUGUCGUUCAACAACCACCACCAAUAAUUAUUAUCAUUGGAUGAUUGGAUUCUUAUUUAUCACACUACCAUUUCGUGCA
rnacentral:ribozyme from 1 species